rnacentral:lncRNA from 1 species
CGUAGCUCGGUGUUAGUUUCGUUCAGGAACACGCGAGAGGGCUUCCUACCCCUAUGUUGGAAGGCCACCUUUGUUGUUUUUCACGAUGUGAUUAGACCUGCCUAGCUCCACCUGCCUCUGGAAAAGAAGAUUCUCUGGGAGUCCCGCUGUGAUACUGUGACUCAGCCCUUCGAGAGGACAGCCAGACGUGGGGAUCCAGUCAGGACCUGGAGGCAGCCAUGACAGUAUAACUGAAGACAGGAAAGAAGACUUCCAGAACUGCCUG